GCCCGUAUCGCAUAGCGGUAUUGCACAUGCUUGGAAAGCAUGGUCCUCCGGGACUCCGAGGUUCGACUCCUCGUGCGGGCG
rnacentral:tRNA from 1 species